UCAACACAUGUUAAUUACACACACGCUAUAAACAUGAUAGACAUGCGAGCUGAAAAUGAUGCAUGAGAAAGAUGGCUAUAAUAAGUGGUAUAAUGCAGUUCUGAACCUUCAGCAGCAUUUCACCACUAGGAGAGAAGGCUGACACAAAACUAACAACUGAUUUGUGGGCGGAGUCAGUUUAUCAAAUUAAUAUAAAGGGGCUAACGUAAACAGCUUGAUGCUGUUGAUACGUUGAAAUAAUAAUGCGUGCUAAUAUCUAUUUUACCUGAACGGUCUUCUUAAAUUUCUGUUUUGCGCUCACUACCCACAACAUGCAGUUUGCGAGGAUCUGACGUCAUCAAAAUUGUAACGUCUCUUACCACGUACUCUACAGAGUUGUCGCUGACGGUUUCAAUAAGGAGAAUGCUCAUAAAUUUUCAUGUCUCUAGAUUGGUUUUCUUUGGAGAAUUGAGUUUUUUUUCCACUGAGCAUGCUUUUUUCGAAUGGCACAAAUCUUUAUUUUCUUUCAGUAGUGUCUUGUGCACAGCAAACCUUAUUAUGAGAAAUUGAAGUAAAGAGAAAGAUUUGUUAGAAAAGGCCGCUGUGGUUUGAGAUCUUUCUGCAAGGUGGUAGUUGCCAUCUUGGUGCACUCAAGCUGUUACAGCUCUCCAACAUGGCAGAUGUAUACAAAAUUCUUUCCUCUGAUGUACAAAACAUUUGUUCGCCGAAAAAUUCGUCCUCAAAAGCUAAACAUUCGCCACAUUUUUUUAUUAGAUCUAUGAUGAAAUCCCUACUUAUUCUCUUAAGAUAAAUUUAAAGCAUCGAUGGCAUCACUGUAACCCACAUAUUUUGAUUUUUGGGCUCAUUAUACACUCCAGUGCCAUUUGCAUCCCAGACAUGGUCACGUGACUAAACCAAUAUUUACUCCAGAAUAGUUCAAGGUUUUACGAACAUGAUGAACAUUGUCUUCCUGUGAAAGUGGUCCCAGUCGAGACAAAGGUUGAACUUGAAAAGAUUUGUGUUUGGAUCAGCUCUGCGCUUUUGACAUGUAAUUGAGGUACUAGAAGAAGACUUUUAUCGAAUCGUGAUCGGAUUUGUUCCUCGUCAUGCAUAAAAGAGAAGUUAAACUCAGAUGAAUACACGACUAGGUGAAAGCAGACGUUAACACUACGUAUCAUAUUAUACCAGAUAAGGAAGCUAAUAUGAAAUGCAGUUAUAAAGCCAAAGAAGUUUGCUUUUGCGAACAAAGUGUUUGAUUCAACUACCUCGAAAGGUAAGACAAUUAUUUCCGGGUCCAAUAAAAUCCUUGAUACCUUUGAGGGGGCACAUUCGAAAAUCAAAACCCGGAAGACGUAUUUAGGUUCAUUGGCGGAAACCAAAAAUCAAUGGUCUAGUUUUGCUACAAAUUGCCUUAGAAGCAUGGCGCUUAGGCCCCGUCCAUACUAAUGCGUCCUCUUUGCUUACCUUCCACCCUACAACGAUCGCAAACACAUGGCUUAGCUUUGAAAACGCUGUCCAGAGAGGGAGUAGAGUGAGAAUAUUUCAAAACGGAGCCCUGUCGUAUUAGCGUGGACAGCGAAAACGGAGUCUUUCGAUAACGCUAACGUCAUUCAAAUGAUAUGCGCAUGGGCAAAAAAUGGUGGUGGUGUUGUAGGUUUUUAAUGUGGACGUUCGUAAACGGUAAUCGGUACAGUAAAGAAGACGAGAAUCUUUUGAUGAAAUAAUCGAAAACUCAAUAGUGUGGACGGGGCCUGAAGCUAUAGCAGGGGUGUCACCAUGCGUCUGAUUCAUGCAUGGUAAUUGUGCUGUCAAACUGAAAACGUCUGGCAGACUUUCUGAAAUUCUGUCGUUAUAUUUUGUAAAAAGAUCUGUUAAAACAAUUUGCUGCGUCUUUAACAACUCCCUUAAUAUCUUUGUCUUGAUAAAGAGCAGCUUUUCGUAUAUUACUGAGCUAAGACAUUUAAGAGCCGCCCUCUGUAACUAUCAACUAUGGUCAUUUGGACGAGAAAAAAUCAAAUUCCUCAAACUUUCCCAGAUGAGUGGUCUAGAUAAGUGAUUCACAUAAAUAUAACUUUCAGUUCAAUUCGAUCGGUAUUUUAGCGCUAAGGCGACCAUCUUGGUUUUGCCCCUCUGAGAGGGCUUUCAGCGGCCAUUUUA